CUCUCCCGCACUUGCACAGCUCCUCGCCUCUUCCUCCCGUCCCCGCCUCCUGCCCACUCUACCGCCUCGGUCGCCGGCCGAUUCCGGCCGCUCCGGUGUGCUCCGGCGCCACCCAACACACACAGGGCUGCUCCUCGACGAGCUUUACUAGCUUCACCGUGUUGAUCUACUUUUCCUUGCCUCCUGCGGUCGCCCCCAUCAAUUUCCCCCACUAGGGUUUCGGUGGUGGAGGUAGAUCUCGCCUCCGGUGGCCGCCUGCUCGUUGCCCCGUUUUCUCGAUCCCCAUGGAUUCGUCCCUACAGGUGAGAAGAUGUAGAGGGAGGAUAGGAGGAGGUAGGCGCACUGGGACGGGGGGGUCUCGCCGGCGACUAUAGGGCUGGCCGGCCGGAGUUGGAUCGAGCUCCCGGCCCGCAUCGCUUCCCCGUUGUCAGGCCGCAUGCUGCUCCGCCCUUCCACCUCCCCUCCCAUCGUUCCCCUCCCUAACCUAGGAGUGGGUGAGGAGGCUAAGCCGCUGGCCCUCGGCACCUCCUGUUCGACCACGCUGAGGAAGCACUUGACCUUCAUCCUUGCGUCCGUGUGCCUCUGGGAAGAAGACCUGAGGUACAGAUCUUCGGUCGUCUUCGACUAUGCUCGGAGAGGUGUCACGGUCUGAGAGGAUACAGUGGGAUGGCUCCAUCUGCUAGACUGAUUUGUCUUUUGUUAACUCCUGCUCACAACUCCUUAGUUUGUUUUAUAUGUGUGCAGACAAAUUAGUGGGCAUGAUUUAUAUGUGUGCAUAUGGACAAAUUCGCUCGGAACAGAAUGACCCCUCUCCUUCCCUUUUGUUUGGUUUCACUUUGUGCCAUCAUUUGAUUGGUUGACGGGCACAAAAAGGAAGGGAGGACAGUGUGCUUCCUGCCUAAGUUAGUGUUAUAUAUUUUUGUCUGAAUUUUAGUUUACAUGACACGACACCCAAUGGCAUAUAGGAUAUUUUCAACUGUUUUUUGGGUCAAAUGACAAUUAUAGUAAUUAAAAUGACCCCAUUAGUAAUAUCUGUCAUCUCUUUAAUUCAGCCUUAUAAAUCAGGACCUGCGAUAGAUGGUGUGCGGUUUUUUAUUUCAGAAUAUUGUUAGCCCAACAUGCAUGAUAUUCGUGCAUUAGCCACAUGUAUGUUAGUCCCAGAAUGAAUUUUUUACUAUGGAUGGUACCACUUAAAUAUUUUGAACCACAUCUAAAUUUCACAUUUGCUUCUCUGUAUACAUGACCCAUGAUGCACUUGAUUUUCAAACUAAUAGAUUUGGAAACAAUAAUAGUUUUGGUUUGUUUUUAUUCAACAGUAGUUGCAUAUCCUUAAUUUCCAAUAUAUUAAUCCAACAAUUACAGCAUAGCCUAAUAGACAUUCUUAUCUUUCACUCAUUCUUUGGGACAGUCUGUUACUUCUCUCCAAUUGCACAUGCAUGGUUUGAUCUUGCGGUGCACGUGUAGUGUAUUCAUGCCUGGCUGUAUAAACAUAAUUCAUUAACGGAUUGUUUAUUUUCUGCCUGGGAAUACUAACUGCUAGCAUAUACAUUUAUUUGCUGAUUCUAACAAGAUGCAUCGCUAUAUCAAUAAUAUAGUAAGCACCUCCUGAAGUUGUGAACUGUCCGGUGGUGCCCUUACAUUGUUGCAUGAUUGACCCUGAUGUCCUUCUCUUGCGGUAGAUGUUGCGCCGCGGAUUGGUCUCGAUGGCGUGCAAUAUUUAGUUUUUAAUUUCAUUGUGAGUUUUUUCUAUUUUCCUGGUUUUCCAAUGCUCCUAAAAUGUACUUCAAAAUGAGCCUGCAUGUAUUAAGUAUUCAGAGAGAUGGGGUACUAUGUAGACAUUCAUUGUGUUUGUUAUGUACCUGGACACCUGGUUGCUUUAAAAUCAUUCUGCCAGGUAUUGUUACUUUGAAAUCCUUCUCUUAAUAAUCAUUAUGUUCGACAGGUGCAUGAGCUUUCAGAUCUAAGGUUCACCGGCACACAAGAGUCACUUGGUUGUUUGAUGCGUUCGUGCUCGUCAGCGGGACGGCGAAAGGCGCAACUCCGAUGCGGUUCCUCGCCAGUUGGACGGCGUUCAAGCGCAACCCCGGCGCGCACUGAGUACUGCCUCGGCUACAACCUCCCUCGGUGAGCUCCAUCUUCCUAUGGGACAUGGCCAUGGCUAUAUUGAUGUGGGGCUCGUCUAGUUGAUGCUCUAUGCCCUACUCAUCCAUCGGUUCCUACUUGAGCUAUGUAGUUGUGGAUCCAUGCCAUUUUAGAGUUUGCAGGCUGUUGUUCAUGUUUAGUUGCUAUCAUGGGAGCUCAUGUGAUGCUCUGGUUUACAUGUGGAUGCCUUGGUCCUAUAGCUAUGUUCCUGGAUUUGCUAGAUUGAUCGGUGGCGUUCGUGCUAGGGCGAUGAUGAUUAAUCGUGGCUGAAAUAAGUGUAACUUUGAGCAAUCAUGGCACCUGUGCGUAUCAGGUUGGAUCCUCCCUCUUGUCUCUAGAAUCCUUUUUGAUCAUGUGAUACUUGUUGCUGUCCUUGGAUGGUCAUUCUUGUUGAGUGAUAACCAGGGCAGCUCCACUGUAUAAACAGAUUGAUCUGGUGAUAAGAGAUGACGGGGUAGGUUAUAUGAUCAAGGAAAGGCGAAUCUGAGCCCACUAUGCAAUGAACCAUGAAUCCUUUCUAUUUGUAUUUAAAGGUGUUGCUUAUCCAAAAACAAGAACCGAAGCAGACCACAGGCACUCCCAGAGCUCAGGCCCUCUCGGCCGUCCGAUCUAUUUCUUGAUGCGAUUCAAGCCGUCGAAUCUCGGGUUUGGCUCACGUGAGACAUCGCAUAUUUACCAGAUCGUUGUGAGCCGUUAGAUAAAAUUCCAAUUGAAACAAAAUGGAAAUACCAUGCCCCCAUCAAGGCAUUUGUGUCAUUUCGUGUACCGGCUAUAAAAUGACCGCGGCUUCCUGCGAUGAAAACCUAGCGGCCGCCUCCUCUCUCACUCGCUCCUGCAGCCGCCUCCCUCCCACACAGGUGGCUCCCACCAACCACGGCGGUAGUGGCCACGGAGGAGGGCAGCAGACCAGCGGCACCGGCGAUGGCGUCCGUGGCAGCUAUGCAAUGAACCUUGAACCAUUUUUAUUUGUAUUUAAAGGGGUUGCUUAUUUAUGCUCAAGUGGUGUUUGUGCUAGGGCGAUGGUGAUUACCUUGGCUGGAAUUAUUGUGCCUUUGAGCAAUCAAGGCACCUGUGGGUAUCAAGUUGGAUCCUCCCUCUUGUCUCUAGAAUCCUUUUUGAUCCUGUGAUACUUGUUGUUGUCCUUGGAUGGUCAUUCUUGUUGACUGAUAACCAGGGCAGCUCUACUGUAUAAAGAGAUUGAUCUGGUGAUAAGAGAUGAUGGGGGUAGGUUAUAUGAUCGAGGAAAGGUGAAUCUGAGCCCACUAUGCAAUAAAACUACAGGUACCUCCCCUAAUGUGUGUAGUAUUGAAGGCAAAAAAGAACUUUUCAUGUCUUGCUACUUUAAAAUUCCAAAAAGGUUCACUCUUCCUUUGCUGGUUACUUAACCAUGAUUUUUUUUUGCUUUGGUUCUGGUUGAGAUACUAAAGGUUGUUUAUAUAUGAAAAGAACAAACACUUGUAGUUUUGUAUGCCUCAACUGUUGCUUAGGAUCCAGUGUUGUAGUGCUUUUCCUAAUUACAAAUAACUCUAAUCAAUAAUAGUGGUUCUUUCCUUCUGAUUUGAACUGAGAGAGAACCACUAAUUCUUGAUCUUAAGGUGACCCCAUUUUUCUAUGCCUCAUGCUCAUGCUGCUCUAUGUUCCUUUUUAAAAAUUCUUGCUAGCAUUUUGGGUUGGUUUCUGCUCUAUGUUCCCUUUUAGCAUUUCUUUCCGUUGUUGCUGCACUCCCUUUUGGGCGUUCAUUUCAUGCCCAGGAUCUUGCAAAUUGUGCCUGUGCCGAGCUUGCUUUAGAGUACGUGUUGCGGAGAUGUCGAGGACCUCAAGGUCACCGAUGUUGUGGAGCUGGACGAGGUUUCUGGGCAGUUCAUUGACCGCCUGUUCUUCCUGGAGAAGGUGAUUUACUCUGCCAGGCGGCAGCACUCGAAGCACACAGGAUCCUGAACCUCAACAACAACCCCUACUUUUCUGGGCCCUAAUGUAAGAUCAAUCACGCCUGUUACUUCAAGCUAGAGUGUACUCUGAAGUAAUCUGAAGUCUGAAGAUUUGAUAGCUCUAGAUCAUCAUCAUGCAUGUUGCAACGGCCGUGACGGCGUCGAGGCUCGGGCGUGUGGCCGUCGACGUGGAGCAGUUAGAGGAGGAGCGACUACUACCCCAACGGCAGCCUCUUCUCCCUUGUCCACGUUCGGUUGGUGCCGUGGCGGAGGGUUGUCUUGUGGUUUGACCGGAGAGGGAGCACACCAAAGAAGCGAUCUCGUCCCCAUUGGUCAGAGUAAAAAGGACCGGAGGGAGUACAAUUUUGUUGACUUAUCUGGCAUUUUUUCGGCCGUGUGGAACCAGCACAUCUACAUGCGAAUCUCCAGGCUAUGGUACCAGUGGGGUGGCUUCGAUGAUGGCCCUAUCAAGAGUAUACAUGUGCUCUUCUAUAGGGAAAUCAUGCCAACAAGAUGGUGCCUAAUGAGGUCAUAGACAUGUUUGUGGACACUUUGCAUGAGAGAAAUUUAUACAAGUGUGCCAGGAUCCAUGUGAGGUUCCCUGUAACAAUUCUGAGGGCAGUGGAAGGCACGGAUACGUUAUGGUUCACUAGAUCAACAAUUGUCCAUCACCUUGAGGGUGUUCCAUUUGGUCAUGUCUGUUAACAUGCUUAGUUGCUUCUUCUUUAUUAUGUUAAUGCUCCAAUAACUUUCUCAUAGUAUAUCACUUUUGUUAUUAACCAUCGUAUUGAAUGGCUGCGCUUUUGAUUUCGAGCUUCCUGUCGAGCGACUUUUUUUAAUCUAAUGAACGAACUGAGAUUGAUUAUGCCUUA